rnacentral:rRNA from 1 species
UACGGAGGGUGCAAGCGUUAAUCGGAAUUACUGGGCGUAAAGCGCACGCAGGUGGCUGAGUCAGUCGAUUGUGAAAGCCCUGGGCUUAACCUGGGAAUUGCGGUCGAUACUACUCAGCUAGAGUAUGGGAGAGGGCAGUGAAAUUCCCGGUGUAGCGGUGAAAUGCGCAGAUAUCAGGAGGAACACCGAUGGCGAAGGCAGGUCUCUGGGCCACUACUGACGCUGAGAAGCGAAAGCAUGGGGGAGCGAACAGG